rnacentral:rRNA from 1 species
CAGUCGAGCGAGUCUGCCUUGAAGAUCGGAGUGCUUGCACUCUGUGAAACAAGAUACAGGCUAGCGGCGGACGGGUGAGUAACACGUGGGUAACCUGCCCAAGAGAUCGGGAUAACACCUGGAAACAGAUGCUAAUACCGGAUAACAACAGAUGAUGCCUAUCAACUGUUUAAAAGAUGGUUCUGCUAUCACUCUUGGAUGGACCUGCGGUGCAUUAGCUAGUUGGUAGGGUAACGGCCUACCAAGGCGAUGAUGCAUGGCCGAGUUGAGAGACUGAUCGGCCACAUUGGGACUGAGACACGGCCCAAACUCCUACGGGAGGCAGCAGUAGGGAAUCUUCCACAAUGGACGCAAGUCUGAUGGAGCAACGCCGCGUGAGUGAAGAAGGGUUUCGGCUCGUAAAGCUCUGUUGUUGGUGAAGAAGGACGGGGGUAGUAACUGACCUUUGUUUGACGGUAAUCAAUUAGAAAGUCACGGCUAACUACGUGCCAGCAGCCGCGGUAAUACGUAGGUGGCAAGCGUUGUCCGGAUUUAUUGGGCGUAAAGCGAGUGCAGGCGGUUCGAUAAGUCUGAUGUGAAAGCCUUCGGCUCAACCGGAGAAUUGCAUCAGAAACUGUCGAGCUUGAGUACAGAAGAGGAGAGUGGAACUCCAUGUGUAGCGGUGAAAUGCGUAGAUAUAUGGAAGAACACCGGUGGGCGAAGCGGCUCUCUGGUCUGUUACUGA